GAUGAACGCUGGCGGCGUGCCUAAUACAUGCAAGUCGAGCGAACGGACGAGAAGCUUGCUUCUCUGAUGUUAGCGGCGGACGGGUGAGUAACACGUGGAUAACCUACCUAUAAGACUGGGAUAACUUCGGGAAACCGGAGCUAAUACCGGAUAAUAUUUUGAACCGCAUGGUUCAAAAGUGAAAGACGGUCUUGCUGUCACUUAUAGAUGGAUCCACGCUGCAUUAGCUAGUUGGUAAGUUCACGGCUUACCAAGGCAACGAUGCAUAGCCGACCUGCGAGGGUGAUCGGCCACACUGGAGCGUGGACACGGUCAAGACUCCUACGGGAGGCACCAGUAUGGAAUCUUCCGCAAUGGGCGAAAGCCUUGCGGAGCAGCGCCGCGUGAGUUAUGAAGGUCUUCGGAUCGUAAAACUCUGUUAUUAGGGAAGAACAUAUGUGUAAGUAACUGUGCACAUCUUGACGGUACCUAAUCAGAAAGCCACGGCUAACUACGUG
rnacentral:rRNA from 1 species